UCCGGGCAGGGUUGGAGCUUCCUGCAGUCAGGUGUGGGUUCAGCCAGGCUACCUGUUUCGUGACCUUGGGAAGAAAGUCACCGUCUUUCUGCUUCAGUUUCCUCGCUGUAGGGACGGCCCCUCCACAGCUUUGAGUGUAACACCGCCAUUCAGCGCUUCUCAGAAACCACCGCAUUAAGUUUUGGGAUUUCUCGUUGGCCCUGCUGGUUUUCAGCUUCCCUUUUGGGGAAAUAGCCGCCUGAAAGUGAGGUGAGGACCCAGAGAACUCAGAGGGGGUGAGAUUGGACUUUUGCCACGGGCCUGCGGUGGCCGGACUCCACGUCGGUGCCCGCACCCAUCGCCUGCUGGGAGCUCCCCAAAUGCAUCCUGGACAGAAUAAGCACAGAGACAGCAGGGGCACUGGACAGCCUCGCUCCCAGGCCUGUUGGGGGGUGUACGGAUGGUGGGAGCCCUGUGGUUCGUCCUGCUUUCAAAACCUUGUCCGGGGACUUCCCUGGUGGCGCAGUGGUUAAGAAUCCACCUGCCAGUGCAGGGGACACGGGUUCGAGCCCUGGUCCGGGAAGAUCCCACGUGCCGCGGAGCAACUAAGCCCGUGCGCCACAGCUACUGAGCCUGCGCACCACAACUGCUGAGCCUGAGCUCUAGAGCCCGCGAGGCACAACUACUGAGCCCGAGCACCACAACUACAGAAGCUUGUGCGCCUAGAGCCCGUGCUCCGCAACAAGAGAAGCCACCGCAAUGAGAAGCCCGCGCACCACAGGAAGAGUAGCCCCCACUCACCGCAACUAGAGAAAGCCCGCAUACAGCAACGAAGACCCAACGCAGCCAAAAAUAAAUAAAUAAAUAA